rnacentral:rRNA from 1 species
UAUGUAGGGGGCAAGCGUUGUCCGGAAUCAUUGGGCGUAAAGCGCGUGUAGGCGGCCAGGUAGGUCAGCUGUGAAAACUCGAGGCUCAACCUCGAGACGUCGGUUGAAACCACCUGGCUAGAGUCCGGAAGAGGAGAGUGGAAUUCCUGGUGUAGCGGUGAAAUGCGCAGAUAUCAGGAAGAACACCCGUGGCGAAGGCGGCUCUCUGGGACGGUACUGACGCUGAGACGCGAAAGCGUGGGGAGCGAACAGG